rnacentral:pre_miRNA from 1 species
AAAAAAUUCGGACCGUCGGUCCACUGAGCAAUAUCAGUCGCUCGAUGGAGAAUCGUCCCUUUGUCAU